rnacentral:rRNA from 1 species
CCUACGGGAGGCAGCAGUGAGGAAUAUUGGUCAAUGGGCUUACGCCUGAACCAGCCAAGUCGCGUGAGGGAAGACUGCCCUAUGGGUUGUAAACCUCUUUUGUCAGGGAGCAACGCCGGCUACGUGUAGCCGGACUGAGAGUACCUGAAGAAAAAGCAUCGGCUAACUCCGUGCCAGCAGCCGCGGUAAUACGGAGGAUGCGAGCGUUAUCCGGAUUUAUUGGGUUUAAAGGGUGCGUAGGCGGAAUGCCAAGUCAGCGGUAAAAUCGCGGGGCUCAACCUCGCUCCGCCGUUGAAACUGGCGUUCUUGAGUGGGCGAGAAGUAUGCGGAAUGCGUGGUGUAGCGGUGAAAUGCGUAGAUAUCAGGAGGAAUACCGUUAGCGAAGGCGGCAAUCUGGCUGGAAACUGACGCUGAGGUGCGAAAGCGUGGGUAGCAAACAGGAUUAGAUACCCUUGUAGUC